UUGAAAGAAUUGGUAUGGAGCGUCUUUGAGUGAUGGCUGAUGUGCUGCUUUGGAAGAAUUGGUAUGGUAGUUGCUGAUGUGCUGCUUUUAAUUUUUUGUUCUCUAAUUUCUUUAGUGGUUUUUGAGUUUCAGGUUGCUAUUGGCUUGUGGAUAGCAUCUUUUAUUGGUAGUCUCUUCAACUUCAUUACUCUGGUCUUUAUCGGUCAACUUAGUUCUCUCAUUAGCUUUACUUAACGUAACAGGUGGAGGUUUCGAGUGUUUUCCGAAGGUUGGUGAAGUUGCGAAAAGGAAUAUAGGAGUUUCUAUGAUAACUCUGACGCAUAGGCUGAAGCUACUUGAGCAAGAGAAAAUGAGAGCAACUGGAAUUUUAUAUAUUUAUAUUUAUUUCAAUAAACGUGAACUACAACUACUAGUCCAUUCCUUUGGUUAUGUUUAUUUUUUAAC